UACGUAGGGUGCAAGCGUUGUCCGGAAUUAUUGGGCGUAAAGAGCUCGUAGGCGGUUUGUCGCGUCUGCUGUGAAAACCCGAGGCUCAACCUCGGGCCUGCAGUGGGUACGGGCAAACUAGAGUGCGGUAGGGGAGAAUGGAAUUCCUGGUGUAGCGGUGAAAUGCGCAGAUAUCAGGAGGAACACCGAUGGCGAAGGCAGGUCUCUGGGCCGAUACUGACGCUGAGGAGCGAAAGCAUGGGGAGCGAGCAGG
rnacentral:rRNA from 1 species